rnacentral:rRNA from 1 species
GAUGAACGCUAGCGGCAGGCUUAACACAUGCAAGUCGAGGGGCAGCGCGGGAUAGCAAUAUCCUGGCGGCGACCGGCGGAAGGGUGCGUAACGCGUGAGCGACAUGCCCGUUGCCCGGGGACAACCGGUGGAAACGCCGACUAAUCCCCCGAUGGGAUAUUGUGCCGCAUGGCACGAUAUUGAAAGUUACGGCGGCGACGGAUUGGCUCGCGUCCGAUUAGCUUGUUGGCGGGGUAACGGCCCACCAAGGCUGCGAUCGGUAGGGGUUCUGAGAGGAAGGCCCCCCCACAAUGGGACUGAGACACGGCCCAUACUCCUACGGGAGGCAGCAGUGAGGAAUAUUGGUCAAUGGGCGGAAGCCUGAACCAGCCAUGCCGCGUGCGGGAAGGAGGCCCUAUGGGCUGUGAACCGCUUUUGCCUGGGGGCAAUAAGGGCGUCGCGCACGUCCGAUGAGAGUACCAGGCGAAUAAGCAUCGGCUAACUCCGUGCCAGCAGCCG